UCUCCGUAGGUGAACCUGCGGAAGGAUCAUUAUUGAAUUCACUAUGCCAGGUUGUUGCUGGUUCCUUCGGGGACAUGUGCACGCUUAGUAAAAGUCAUUUCAACCACCUGUGAACCUUUUGUAGUCCCUGGGUGAACGCUACUUUCAAAGGAGACUUUGGAAUUGAAUGCUGCAGGCUUUCUAUAACAGGAAGGUCGGCUUUAUUCUACAGCAGAGGCCAGGUCUAUGCUUUACACACCCUAUUGUAUGUUUUGAAUGUAAUUAAAGGGCUUAAAUGCCUUUAAAUCUAUACAACUUUCAGCAACGGAUCUCUUGGCUCUC
rnacentral:misc_RNA from 1 species